GUGGGGAAUAUUGCGCAAUGGGGGAAACCCUGACGCAGCGACGCCGUGUGAGGGAAGAAGGCUUUCGGGUCGUAAACCUCUGUCAGAAAGGAAGAACCUCCCAAGUCCGAAUAGGGCUUGGGACUGACGGUACUUUCAAAGGAAGCACCGGCUAACUCCGUGCCAGCAGCCGCGGUAAUACGGAGGGUGCAAGCGUUAAUCGGAAUCACUGGGCGUAAAGCGCGCGUAGGCCGCUUUGUAAGUCGGACGUGAAAGCCCUCGGCUCAACCGGGGAACUGCGUUCGAUACUGCGAGGCUUGAGUCCUGGAGAGGGUGGCGGAAUUCCGGGUGUAGGAGUGAAAUCCGUAGAUAUCCGGAGGAACACCGGAGGCGAAGGCAGCCACCUGGACAGGUACUGACGCUAAGGCGCGAAAGCGUGGGGAGCAAACAGGAUUAGAAACCCGUGUAGUCC
rnacentral:rRNA from 1 species